UACGUAGGUGGCGAGCGUUGUCCGGAAUCACUGGGCGUAAAGGGCGCGUAGGCGGCUCAUGAAGGCUGUGGUGAAAGUCCGGGGCUCAACCUCGGAUCGGCCGUGGCGACUCGUGGGCUGGAGCACUGUAGAGGCGGGUGGAAUUCCGGGUGUAGCAGUGAAAUGCGUAGAUAUGCGGAGGAACACCGAUGGCGAAGGCAAUCCCCUGGGCCUGCACUGACGCUCAUGCACGAAAGCGUGGGGAGCAAACAGG
rnacentral:rRNA from 1 species